rnacentral:rRNA from 1 species
ACUGCGUACCUUUUGUAUAAUGGGUCAGCGACUUAUAUUCUGUAGCAAGGUUAACCGAAUAGGGGAGCCGGAGGGAAACCGAGUCUUAAUUGGGCGUUAAGUUGCAGGGUAUAGACCCGAAACCCGGUGAUCUAGCCAUGGGCAGGUUGAAGGUUGGGUAACACUAACUGGAGGACCGAACCGACUAAUGUUGAAAAAUUAGCGGAUGACCUGUGGCUGGGGGUGAAAGGCCAAUCAAACCGGGAGAUAGCUGGUUCUCCCCGAAAGCUAUUUAGGUAGCGCCUCGUGAAUUCAUCUCCGGGGGUAGAGCACUGUUUCGGCUAGGGGGCCAUCCCGGCUUACCAACCCGAUGCAAACUGCGAAUACCGGAGAAUGUUAUCACGGGAGACACACGGCGGGUGCUAACGUCCGUCGUGAAGAGGGAAACAACCCAGACCGCCAGCUAAGGUCCCAAAGUCAUGGUUAAGUGGGAAACGAUGUGGGAAGGCCCAGACAGCCAGGAUGUUGGCUUAGAAGCAGCCAUCAUUUAAAGAAAGCGUAAUAGCUCACUGGUCGAGUCGGCCUGCGCGGAAGAUGUAACGGGGCUAAACCAUGCACCGAAGCUGCGGCAGCGACGCUGAUGCGUUGUUGGGUAGGGGAGCGUUCUGU